GGGUUGUGAGGUUAAGCGACUAAGCGUACACGGUGGAUGCCCUGGCAGUCAGAGGCGAUGAAGGACGUGCUAAUCUGCGAAAAGCGUCGGUAAGGUGAUAUGAACCGUUAUAACCGGCGAUGUCCGAAUGGGGAAACCCAGUGUGAUUCGUCACACUAUCGUUAACUGAAUACAUAGGUUAACGAG
rnacentral:rRNA from 1 species